rnacentral:rRNA from 1 species
GAUGAACGCUGGCGGCGUGCCUAACACAUGCAAGUCGAGCGAGAAGCUUACAAGUGAUACUUCGGUAAAGCGAGUGAGUGGAAAGCGGCGGACGGGUGAGUAACGCGUAGGCAACCUGCCCUGUACAGAGGGAUAGCCUCGGGAAACCGGGAUUAAAACCUCAUGAUGCUAUCGGGUCACAUGAUUUGAUAGUCAAAGAUUUAUCGGUACGGGAUGGGCCUGCGUCUGAUUAGUUAGUUGGUGAGGUAACGGCUCACCAAGGCAGCGAUCAGUAGCCGACCUGAGAGGGUGAUCGGCCACAUUGGAACUGAGACACGGUCCAAACUCCUACGGGAGGCAGCAGUGGGGAAUAUUGCACAAUGGGCGAAAGCCUGAUGCAGCAACGCCGCGUGAGCGAAGAAGGCCUUUGGGUCGUAAAGCUCUGUCCUAGGGGAAGAAAAAAAUGACGGUACCCUUGGAGGAAGCCCCGGCUAACUACGUGCCAGCCGCCGCCGUAACAC